GUUUUUAAAUGCAGUCUUUACAGACCUCAGUGAAAACUCAGUGCAUCUUUCUAAGGUCCAUUUAUUUUCCCUGAGAGUGCACAAGAUUAACACCACCUGCAUUUUUUCCUCCUGUUUUUUCCACUGCAUUCAGCAGUUGCCUCCCCUACCCACCGACUCUCCAAUCCCUCAACCCGCCAAGCUGCUGAGUUCACAAAACACAUGAUUGAUCACCCAACAGCAGCGUUCAGUAAAGAAGUAUUUAUAAAACAUUAUUAAUCGACAAUCAAAUUCCUGUCUGGUGAGUUGUAAGGUGGCAAAGUGGUUUAAGAUGAGCAGAAUUCUCUGCAGGAACAGAUGGCUGACUUCUCCUCAGAUUACUUCUCAAACUCUCUCUCUCUCUCUCUCUCUCUCUCUCUCUCUCUCUCUCUCUCUCUCUCUCUCUCUCUGGCGACUCAUCUGUCACGCCCACACACCAACGCCACUGCUCGGCUUUGCUCUCUUUUCCCCGACUACCCGCCUCACACUUUCUUCUCUCUGCAAUCAUCCCUCCAUCAUCACUCCGGCCUCCCUCCUGUCCAUGUCUUCAGUCUCGUCUGCUUCACCUGCAGUGUUUUCUGUCCUGGGCAGAUGGAGUCCUCCAUGAGGUCCUGGGGUCUCAGUAAGUCCCUGGCCUCGGAGCAGUGGUGAGCUUGGCCUGGCAGGUUCUGUGUCCCUGCCAUCCAAGAUGACACGUUAAAGGUUAAAGCUGUCACCAGCCGAUUCCCCGUCCUGCUAGGACGCACUCACUACCCUUCCAUGUCCAAUGGAAAAUCAACUUGACAGCAGAAAGCAGGAGGAGCUGCAGGAGCACUACAGUUUGGUUUCAGGAUGGGGGAACCAGAUAUAGAGGCCUUAAUAAAGAUCAUGUCAGCAA